GACGAACGCUGGCGGCGUGCCUAAUACAUGCAAGUAGAACGCUGAAGGAGGAGCUUGCUUCUCCGGAUGAGUUGCGAACGGGUGAGUAACGCGUAGGUAACCUGCCUGGUAGCGGGGGAUAACUAUUGGAAACGAUAGCUAAUACCGCAUAACAGUAGAUAUUGCAUGAUAUCUGCUUGAAAGGUGCAAUUGCAUCACUACCAGAUGGACCUGCGUUGUAUUAGCUAGUUGGUGAGGUAACGGCUCACCAAGGCGACGAUACAUAGCCGACCUGAGAGGGUGAUCGGCCACACUGGGACUGAGACACGGCCCAGACUCCUACGGGAGGCAGCAGUAGGGAAUCUUCGGCAAUGGACGGAAGUCUGACCGAGCAACGCCGCGUGAGUGAGGAAGGUUUUCGGAUCGUAAAGCUCUGUUGUAAGAGAAGAACGAGUGUGAGAGUGGAAAGUUCACACUGUGACGGUAUCUUACCAGAAAGGGACGGCUAACUACGUG
rnacentral:rRNA from 1 species